rnacentral:piRNA from 1 species
UUUGUAAACAAGUUUUACUUUUGAUUUGC